rnacentral:tRNA from 1 species
GCUGUUAUAGCUCAGGUGGUAGAGCGUCGCCUUGGUAAGGCGGAGGUCACGGGUUCAAAUCCCGUUAACAGCU